AUCCAAGUAAUGGGUGUCUUUAUCACGUUUCCUUGGUAUUAUCUACACCAAAUCGAGAGGAAUUAUUUAUCUUCUUCUUUUCUUCUUCUUUCCUCUUCUUCUUCUGUUCUUCAGUCGAGAGAUGAUUGAGUAAUCAAAUUAGUGGCUUUGAGAUCGACGAAAGAAGAUGCAGAUCGAGUAUUGAUUAUUGGUGAUGGUGUUGAAGUUGUUUAAGCACGAGAUGAAGAGGUUAGAGUUGUUGCUGUAAAUUGAUGAUGUGAUUUCUGAUGUUAGGGUUUAUAUGGAAUUGAGAUGUGAUUCGUGUUGUUGUUAGAUGAAGAUUAAAAGGGUUGAUGUUCAAUUGAAGCAGUACAAUUUUUCUGGUGGUUGAAAUCGAAGAAUUAAGUUUUCUGAGAUUUUUUGAAGUUAUGAUUGGUGAUGAUUAAGAACAUGAUAAACAGAGUUGUGGUUAGAUGAGGAAUCAUGGGUAGAGGAUUAAUUGAAGUUGUAGAGUUGUUUUGUUGGUGAAUCAAAAGUUAUUGUUUUAUAAGAAGUUCGAAGAAGAACCAGAAGAUAAAGGUGUUGGUUUAGGGGAUUAAAUUAAAGGAUGGGUCUGAUAGUAUUGAAGAGUUGAUUGAUGUUUUGAAUGUUAAUUUGAGAUUGAAGAUAAUCAGGGUUUCAGCGAAUUGGUUUCAUGAAUUCGAUUAAGGAUUGAUAAGAAGAGGUUAAAAGGUGGGUUUAAUCAAGUUGAAGAUUUGGUUGAUGCUGUGAACUCGAAUUAGGAAAAGAAUGAUUUGGGAUUUCACAUAGAUUUGGAGUUAGAGCUCAUGGAUUGAACUGCCAUUGGAGAAAAAGAGUUUGAAGUCAACUGAUUGAGGUAAUUUGUCUUUCUGAGUUAGAUCAGUAAUUAUUCAAUAGUGAUUAUUGAGUUUGUAUGGUUGAUAAUGGAAUUAGGACUUGAAUUGAGUAUGGAUUGAAGUUAUAGUUUGGUUUUAAGAAUAUCUUAAGUUACAAGGAAAAGGGUUGAUCCAUAAAUUGAGUUAACUACAAGGUGUUAAGGGUUAUUGUUGAUGAGAGUGAAUUCUGAGAUGGUAUUGCAGGUUAGUGAUGAAGCUGCCAGUUUUACUCAGUGAAGAACUGAAUUGAUAGUGAUGAUGUUGAACUGGUUUGUGUGGGGAUGGUGUUAGUAUAAUAUGAUGAUGGGGCCAGUUAGAUGAAUGUAUAGGAUUUGGUAGUUUCAUUGAGUUGCACUUGAAGGGAAUUGGGGAUGCUAUUAGGAGGUGACUGUGUUGUUGGGUUGAAGAUGUAGUAUUAGUCUGAGUUAAGAGGAAUUGGAUUGCAGGUGAGUCUGGUGGUGUUGUGAUGAGUUGUAGUUGAUGAAUUAAAUGGUGGUGGUGUAUGUGAGGUUAUAUUUGUGAUUGGGUUGUGAUCACAGUACAUGGAGGAGGUCUGAGAUGUAUUUGAAUGAGUGAAGCGGUAACUGGUAAUGUUUGGGGGAUAUAAAUGAGGUGUGUAUUGCAGUUAUGGGUACUGAUCAAGUAUGGAAUUACAGGUAAUUGUAGAGUUAUGUUGUGUGACAAAUGUAGCUAAUGGAAUUGUGCUUUGAACAAGAAAUAUUGCAAGGGCUGGAUACAACUUAGGAGUUUUGUAAUGGUAGAUGAGUAGCUUGAAGAUAUUCUCAAUGGAAGCUUGCUUCUGCUACCUAAAGUGGAUCGUGGAUCUCGAGGUAGGCGUGGCCUGUCAUCAAAAGAGUUUCAGAGACAGAUCAAAGUUGUGUAGCGAAAGCUUCGAGGUGUUGAGUCCGUUAGUUGGUUAACUUUUGUCAUGUUUAUUAUGUUGUAUAUUUUAUUUGUAAACCAAAAGACUAUUGUAUAUAUAUCAUUUGAAAGGAGUUUUUGUAUAUAUAUAUAUAUA